rnacentral:rRNA from 1 species
CCGCAAGGGGAGCGGCAGACGGGUGAGUAACGCGUGGGAAUCUACCCAUCUCUACGGAAUAACGCAUGGAAACGUGUGCUAAUACCGUAUACGUCCUUCGGGAGAAAGAUUUAUCGGAGAUGGAUGAGCCCGCGUUGGAUUAGCUAGUUGGUGGGGUAAAGGCCUACCAAGGCGACGAUCCAUAGCUGGUCUGAGAGGAUGAUCAGCCACACUGGGACUGAGACACGGCCCAGACUCC